GGCGGCAGCUGCUAACAGUAGUUCAUGUGGUUAUUCUGAAGCAUCUUUAUUACAGGGACAAAGUCCAAAGAAGCAACUUCAGCAUACAGCAGAUUGGCAGAAACACAAUCCACCAAAGACUCAACUUUCUCCGGCUGACCUUGAGCUACGAUCUGCUUACUGCAUGCAGACACAAAGUGAGAAGGAACCUGUACAGGCACUGAACCUCAAAAUAGCGGCAGCUGUGGCGAUCCAGCGAUGCUGGCGGAGGAGAUGCGUAUUGCGGAGACAUGAGGGCCUCCCAGGCUUAAUUGAAAAAACUAACACAAAAUCAGAUCUUAAUAAGGUGAAAGAUACCUUCAUUGGGAGGCCUGAGAGGGAACGUGCUGCUAUUGUUAUUCAGGCUGCAUGGAGGGGCUGCGUUCUGCGUAAAAAGCUGGCCCGUGCUCUAGCUGCCGCUCAGAUCACAGAAAGCGAUGAGGACUUAGAAGAGGU
rnacentral:lncRNA from 1 species